ACAUUUGGAGAGGAGGUUUGGCUUCAGUGAAAAAAUGAUUCUGUCAUGUUCUGAAGAUUAUACUCUGCAUUUCAACCUUUAUGCCAGCUGGGAGGAUAAAAACGUUAUUGAAAUGAUGCUUCUUCAAGCAGAAGAAAGAGAACAAUAGUGGGACUUAGUUUGUGAGAAGAAAGGAUUAAACCAGGCUGCAGCAACCUUUUUCUUCAUUGGAGUAACAGUUGGAGCACUUGUCUUUGGUUCACUGUCUGACAGGUUUGGCCGGAGGACAAUUCUUCUAUUGACAUUCGUACUUUCCACAGUCUCUGGGGUCAUGGCUGCAUUUUCCAACUCGUAUGCAAUGUUUGCCUCAAUGAGAGCUAUUUCUGGAAUUUCUCUUGCAGGGACAGGAAACCUCUGCAUGACUCUAAGUAUUUUGUUUAAUUUCUUCCUGGAAUUCAUGUUAAAGUUUAAAUGAUUAGGACAUAUUUCAAGCAGGUAUAUGGAAUGCUGUUGUUGAACA